UAAUACCCGCGGCCCGAGUGGUGGUCGAUAUUAUUGAGCCUAAAACGUUCGUAGCCGGUCUUGUAAAUCCUUGGGUAAAUCGGCCAGCUUAACUGUCCGAAGUCCGGGGAGACUGCAAGACUUGGGAUCGGGAGAGGUCAGAGGUACUUCUGGGGUAGGGGUAAAAUCCUGUAAUCCUAGAAGGACCACCGGUGGCGAAGGCGUCUGACUAGAACGAAUUCGACGGUGAGGAACGAAGCCCUGGGGCGCAAACGGGAUUAGAUACCCCGGUAGUCCAGGGUGUAAACGCUGCGGGCUUGGUGUUGGGGGUCCUUAGUGGGCGCCCAGUGCCGGAGAGAAGUUGUUAAGCCUGCUGCUUGGGGAGUAUGUCCGCAAGGAUGAAACUUAAAGGAAUUGACGG
rnacentral:rRNA from 1 species